rnacentral:rRNA from 1 species
AGUGAACGCUGGCGGUAGGCCUAACACAUGCAAGUCGAACGGCAGCACAGUAAGAGCUUGCUCUUACGGGUGGCGAGUGGCGGACGGGUGAGGAAUACAUCGGAAUCUACUUUUUCGUGGGGGAUAACGUAGGGAAACUUACGCUAAUACCGCAUACGACCUACGGGUGAAAGCAGGGGAUCUUCGGACCUUGCGCGAUUGAAUGAGCCGAUGUCGGAUUAGCUAGUUGGCGGGGUAAAGGCCCACCAAGGCGACGAUCCGUAGCUGGUCUGGGAGGAUGAUCAGCCACACGGGAACUGAGACACGGUCCAGACUCCUACGGGAGGCAGCAGUGGGGAAUAUUGGACAAUGGGCGCAAGCCUGAUCCAGCCAUACCGCGUGGGAGAAGAAGGCCUUCGGGUUGUAAAGCCCUUUUGUUGGGAAAGAAAAGCAGCAGGUUAAUACCCCGCUGUUCUGACGGUACCCAAAGAAUAAGCACCGGCUAACUUCGUG